UAGACAAAUCACUUGAGGCCAGGAGUUCUAGACCAGCCUGGCCAACAUGGUGAAACCCCAUCUCUACUAAAGAAAAAAAAAAAUUAGCUGAGCAUGGUUGUACAUGCUUGUAAUCCCAGCUACUUGGGAGGCCGAGGCGGGAGGAUUGCUUGAACCCAAGAGGUGGAGUUUGCAGUGAGCUGAGAUUGUGCCACACUGCACUCCAGCUUGGGUGACAGAGUGAGACUCCAUCUCAAAAAAAAAAAAAAAAAAGAGAGAAUCCCGCUUUCUUGCUGUUGUGAUGGUGGUAAGGGAACGGGCCUGGCUCUGGCCCCUGACGCAGGAACAUGGAGCUGAUCCAGGACACCUCCCGCCCGCCACUGGAGUACGUGAAGGGGGUCCCGCUCAUCAAGUACUUUGCAGAGGCACUGGGGCCCCUGCAGAGCUUCCAAGCCCGACCUGAUGACCUGCUCAUCAACACCUACCCCAAGUCUGGUAAGUGAGGAGGGCCACCCACCCUCUCCCAGGCGGCAGUCCCCACCUUGGUCAGCAAGGUCGUGCCCUCAGCCUGCUCACCUCCUAUCUCCCUCCCUCUCCAGGCACCACCUGGGUGAGCCAGAUACUGGACAUGAUCUACCAGGGCGGCGACCUAGAGAAGUGUAACCGGGUUCCCAUCUACGUACGGGUGCCCUUCCUUGAGGUCAAUGAUCCAGGGGAACCCUCAGGGCUGGAGACUCUGAAAGACACACCGCCCCCACGGCUCAUCAAGUCACACCUGCCCCUGGCUCUGCU
rnacentral:sRNA from 1 species